AUGGAAUGUUCUUUACCAUUUGGUGGAAAGGUUGUCGUCUUUGGUGGCGAUUUCAGGCAGGUCCUCCCCGUUGUGACCCGAGGGACAAGAGCACAGACAGACCCUUGGUUCUCGGAAUACCUCCUACGGAUUGGCAAUGGGACAGAAGAAACAAUUGGCGACGACUAUGUGCAUCUCCCUGAAGACAUUGUGAUUGCUUAUACCGACGAUGAUGAACCUAUUAACAAGCUUAUCGAAGAUGUCUUCCCAUCCCUGCACACCAAUGCUAGGUCGAGAGAGUACAUGAGCACACGUGCAAUUCUCUCGACCAAAAAUGAGCAUGUAGAUGACCUGAAUGACAAGAUGAUCUCCAGGUUUCCGGGCGAAGAAAAGGUGUACCAUAACUGCCCGGUCAUUUUGCUACGGAACCUCGACCCUCAUAAUGGGCUAUGUAAUGGAACACGGCUUAUGAUCAGGGCCUUCCAGGAUAAUGCAAUCGAUGCAGAGAUUGUUGGUGGCCAGCAUGCUGGAAAGAGGGUGUUCAUACCUAGGAUCCCUAUGUCGCCCUCGGAGGACACCUCACUUCCCUUCAAGCUUAAGAGAAAACAGUUCCCCAUCCGCCUGAGUUUUGCGAUGACCAUUAACAAGGCACAGGGUCAAACCAUCCCAAAUGUCGGUAUUUACCUUCCAGAACCUGUUUUCUCACAUGGUCAACUAUAUGUUGCAUUGUCAAGGGGUGUCUCAAGAAAGACGACACGGAUUUUAGCCAAGCCUAACAAGGAGGUUGAUAAAUCUGGGAGAAGCACCAAAAACAUUGUCUACAUAGAUGUUUUAGAGGGGUUUUCAUAA
rnacentral:rRNA from 1 species